GCAUCCCGGGAGUUGUAGGCCAGGGGCGGUCCCUGUAGCCCUCCUGUCUCUGUCUCCUCCCACGCCUUCUGGGUUUUACCCUUCCUGCAGAUGAGUUCCCGCCCUUACUCCUCCUUGGCGCUUGAGAAGACUGCACUGGUUUCUAAGCUCAGAGUGGAGUUCUCUAGCCUCAGGUGUGUCCACAAGACUGUGAAAAGGAAAGUAUAUUUGGCUCCAAAUGUGCCAGCAUGGCAUCCAGCUUUUUGUGAUCUGAGCCCCUUUCUUCUGGGCAUUGAAGCAUAAACAAGACAAAAAAAAAAAAAGGUUCUGGGGUACAUGUGCAGAUCAUGCAGAAUUGUUGCAUAGGUUAUUAAGGAUGGAAUAAAUAAUGGGAGAUUUCCAUUUCAUGAAGGAGGUCCUGCGCCAAUAUUACCAGAUGAAAAAUGAUGUUCCUAUUGGCAUUUUUCCCUGUUAUUUGAAAGCAGCCUCUGAACUUCUAAACAUAGUGCUCCAGAUAUUGAAAAGAAUAAGAUACUGCAGACCACAGAUCUCACAGUGUCUUCAGGGUGCUCCUGGGAUACAGGAUAAAAUUUGUUCACUGUCUUCAAUACAGAGAACAAAUAAGUGUGAAAAUGGAAUGAGAUUUACAACCUAAGAUAUCUAACAAUCACAAUGCGGAAUCCUGCUGCUUAUUCCUGACAAGAAGAUGUUAUAAAAGGUUGAAUAAUAUCUUUGGAAUUCAUAAAUUAUGAAUGCAGUCUUCUGCCUGCCAUGGAUGCCCUGAAAAGGACCAAAAACUAACGCAUGGAGAGGAACUCUGAAAUGAACAUGUUCUAGCUGAAAUACAGAAGAAUAUCCCAUAAGGCAUCAGGAAUCAUCUAAUGCUUUACUUUCAAAGAGUGCCUGCUGGCAGGCAAUGCUCAAACUUCCUACAGAUUGGCAGAAAAAAAUAAUUAUUGUGACUCCACUGUGCAAGAUGAAUGGGAAAGAAAGGGUCCUGGUACACAGAACUUCAUUUUCAAUAAAGUCUCCUAAAGAGAAAAGAGAGCAACAACUGAACACUCAAUUUUAUUCUUUGUUCAGCUUGCUGGGUCACAAGAAAUGCUUCUUUCUGAAGUGUUUUUUCUUAUAAAAUAAUAAGAUAAUAUGAAGCAGGCCGGAAGAGUAGGGAUUGCACUCAUUUCAGAAUCAAACAAACCAAGAAUUGAAUAAUCACCUCCUCUACCUUCUAGCUACGCACCUUAAACAAAUUCAUUAACUUUUCUAAGCCUCAGUUAGCCCACCCCACACAGGAAGCUAAUAAUACCUAACGUGAAUGAUUAACAUGUGACUAUCACCUUGAAAUGUUUCUGGCUCCUAAUAGGCAUUCUAUACAUUAGGUCUCUACUAGGCUAAAAUGAGAGCAAAGCAAAUAAGAAAAUACUAAAGGCAGAAUAGCACGAAGAAGAAUGUCUUGUGUCUACACUUGUUGUUACUUCACAGAAAAAUCAUUUUACCUAAUUUGAUCAUAGCUCCUAUCAUAACUCAUCUUUGACAAAAUACAGCAUUUUGUGGUGUGAAAUGAGCUAUAAACCUGACAGUCAGAUCUAGCAUUGGUAAGGGAUAAAACUAAUCAUGCUGUUGGUGGAUAGGAAGAAGCCUUAGCUCACCUAACUUUAGGAAGUUUUUGGAAGACAAUAGAUUGUCAACCAAGCAAAGUUUGGUUUAUUUUGGGUUUUACUUUAGAGCCAGUAUCUGAAAAAAAAAAUUCUAUACUAUUUUCCAGACAUAAGAAACUGAUGAUAUAAAAUUGCAAAUAAUGAUUGAAUAUUAGAAUCAAAUGCAGUAGCUAGUUCAAAUGUCAAUGCCAGUUGUUCUUUAAACACUUCCACUUACAACUUUAGGAUUGAAGAGGCCUUAGAGCUUGUUUUGACCUAGACUGCACUUUUAGCGUGGCCCUGAGGUUAUUGUCCUGACACACUUGAUGCUCAAUUUUGCUGAAGCAUAAUAAUGAAUACCAACGUGUUAAAGGUGAAAUAAAACCAGACUGCUUGAAAGCGGAUGUAUUCUCCCGAGGAUAGUUCAAGAGAAUUGGAAUGUGGGUUGGGGCACCCUAUAUCAAAAACGUGUUUGAUAGAAAGCACAUUAGCCAGGAGAGAUAAUACAAGAAUCAGUGCCAGGGUACUCCAGUGCAGGGUCCCCAACUCUCGAGGCCAGGCUGGUACCAGUCUAUGCCUGUUAGGAAUCAGGCCACACAGGAGGAGGUCAGCAGUAGGCAGCAAGCAUUACUGCCUGAGCUCCACCUCCUGUCAGAUGAACACCAGCAUUAGAUUAUCAUAGGAGCACAAACCC